GCCAAUGUGUCCAAGCCCCUGAACCUCCACGCUGCCUGGGGCAGCAGCAGCUCAUCUGGGUGCGUGAUCCGCACACACAGCAACUCUUCUGGAUCAUCUGUGGGGAAGGCAUCCAAAACAAACAGGGAUAAAGUCAGUACGUAGGGAGCUGCUAAUUGUCCAUGCAUCAGAGGAGACUUAUGCUUCUGAAUAAGAAAGCAGCUGGAGUCUACUUUAAUUACUUAACAUCCAUCAAGAGGUAUACCAACUCAUGGAAAACAAGGCAUCUGAUAUCAAUCUACAGCACAAAGGAAACAGCUAUCUUUACUACUUAAAAGAUGUACAACAUCAGUAUACACAGUUGUAUAAAAAUGUAAUUGUUAUUCUCUAAUUUUGUCACAAAUAUGGAAAGAGAUGAAAUGCCUAUGAAUAUGGGGGGCGGGGCUAUGUCAGUUUGUCAUUGCAUUCUUUCAGAAAAUGAUUUUGAUUUCAGUGA